rnacentral:rRNA from 1 species
AGCGGCGAACGGGUGUGUAACACGUGAGUAUUUACCCAUUAGUGAAGGAUAACUUCGAGAAAUCGAGGCUAAUACUGCAUACGUCCCUUCGGGGAGAAAGGUGGCCUCUUUGCUGCCGCUAAUGGAUGAACUUGCGGGCUAUCAGCUUGUUGGUAAGGUAAAGGCUUACCAAGGCUAUGACGGCUAGCCGACCUGAGAGGGUGUACGGCCACAUUGGAACUGAGAUACGGUCCAGACUCC